AAGACUAUACUUUCAGGGAUCGUUUCUAUAGUUUGUUACUAGAGAAGUUUCUCUGAAUGUGUAGAGCACCCAAAACCACGAGGAGGAGGUGGAGUGUUCUCUCCUGAGCGUGAAGCCGGGCAUUUGGUGUUGCUUCGGUAACUGCCAUUUGUCAUUGAUGACCAUUCUUCUCUCUCCUUGGAGAAAGUGAGAGGGAGAGAACACUGUCUGAGUGGU